GGCUGGGUGCCAUAGUUGGUUUGGGGCUGGCCUUGUACGCCCAAGUUUGUGAGUUCAACCCUUGCCCUAGUCA